UCCCCUUGGAGUUUUUCCUCUAUGAGCCUGAGAUACAGAUUUUACUCCUUACAGAUCUAUAGAUGGACACAAAUGGAGUCAUUGGAGGCUUGGCACUGCACCGGUGUUCUCUACCACAAAAGCUUCCCUAGGACUAUGAUGUAUUGACCCAUGGUUGGAAGAUGUAAGGACAUGUCUAUGCUGAACAAUUUAACCUUGUGAAGAAAAUUCCAAUGAUUGCUGGCUAAAUUAAAGCUACAAUUACAUAGCUGCUUGAAGCCUAGGGCUGUGAGCAAGGUUAUGCUCAGCCAGGUGGCUGCACAGAGCCCAGGACUAAGAGCUCUUGUUAUCGGAAGUAGAUUAGGAAAAACACAUCUAGUUACCAUGGCUUAAGGGAACUGCUGGCUGCUGGGAAAAAGGAAAGGCUACUCCUGACAGCUGUCCUUGG